CGUGAGGAACCUGCCUCGGAGUGGGGAAUAACAACAACGAAAGCUGUGCUAAUACCGCAUGAUACAGUUGGGUCGCAUGACUCUGACUGUCAAAGAUUUAUCGCUCUGAGAUGGCCUCGCGUCUGAUUAGCUAGUUGGUGGGGUAACGGCCCACCAAGGCGACGAUCAGUAGCCGGACUGAGAGGUUGACCGGCCACAUUGGGACUGAGACACGGCCCAG
rnacentral:rRNA from 1 species